rnacentral:rRNA from 1 species
AGGACGAACGCUGGCGGCGUGCUUAACACAUGCAAGUCGAACGAGGUCCAUCCGGUAGCAAUACCGGUGAAGAUCUAGUGGCGAACGGGUGAGUAACACGUGAGCAACCUGCCCCGAAGACUGGGAUAACAGCGGGAAACCGCUGCUAAUACCGGAUGUCCCCACCGGGCCGCAUGACACGGUGAGGAAAUGGAUUCCGCUUCGGGAGGGGCUCGCGGCCUAUCAGCUUGUUGGCGGGGUAACGGCCCACCAAGGCAACGACGGGUAGCUGGUCUGAGAGGACGAUCAGCCACACUGGGACUGAGACACGGCCCAGACUCCUACGGGAGGCAGCAGUGGGGAAUCUUGCGCAAUGGGCGAAAGCCUGACGCAGCAACGCCGCGUGAGGGAUGAAGGCCUUCGGGUUGUAAACCGUCUUUCAAGCAGGGACGAUUGUGACGGUACCUGCAGAAGAAGCUCCGGCCAACUACGCGCCAGCAGCCGCGGU